AGCUUGUUGGUGAGGUAAAAGCUCACCAAGGCGACGAUCUGUAGCGGGUCUGAGAGGAUGAUCCGCCACACUGGAACUGAGACACGGUCCAGACUCCUACGGGAGGCAGCAGUGGGGAAUUUUGGACAAUGGGGGCAACCCUGAUCCAGCCAUGCCGCGUGAGUGAAGAAGGCCUUCGGGUUGUAAAGCUCUUUCAGCCGGGAAGAAAACGCAUGGGUUAAUACCCUGUGUGGAUGACGGUACCGGAAUAAGAAGCACCGGCUAACUACGUGCCAGCAGCCGCGGUAAUACGUAGGGUGCGAGCGUUAAUCGGAAUUACUGGGCGUAAAGCGUGCGCAGGCGGUUUUGUAAGACAGGCGUGAAAUCCCCGGGCUUAACCUGGGAACUGCGUUUGUGACUGCAAGGCUAGAGUACGGCAGAGGGGGGUGGAAUUCCACGUGUAGCAGUGAAAUGCGUAGAGAUGUGGAGGAACACCAAUGGCGAAGGCAGCCCCCUGGGUCGAUACUGACGCUCAUGCACGAAAGCGUGGGUAGCAAACAGGAUUAGAUACCCUGGUAGUCCACGCCCUAAACGAUGUCAACUAGGUGUUGGGAGGGUAAGACCUUUUAGUACCGGAGCUAACGCGUGAAGUUGACCGCCUGGGGAGUACGGCCGCAAGGUUAAAACUCAAAGGAAUUGACGGGGACCCGCACAAGCGGUGGAUGAUGUGGAUUAAUUCGAUGCAACGCGAAAAACCUUACCUACCCUUGACAUGCCAAGAACUUUCCAGAGAUGGAUUGGUGCCCGAAAGGGAACUUGGACACAGGUGCUGCAUGGCUGUCGUCAGCUCGUGUCGUGAGAUGUUGGGUUAAGUCCCGCAACGAGCGCAACCCUUGUCGUUAAUUGCCAUCAUUUAGUUGGGCACUUUAACGAGACUGCCGGUGACAAACCGGAGGAAGGUGGGGAUGACGUCAAGUCCUCAUGGCCCUUAUGGGUAGGGCUUCACACGUCAUACAAUGGUCGGUACAAAGGGUCGCCAAGCCGCGAGGUGGAGCCAAUCCCAGAAAGCCGAUCGUAGUCCGGAUCGCAGUCUGCAACUCGACUGCGUGAAGUCGGAAUCGCUAGUAAUCGUGGAUCAGAAUGUCACGGUGAAUACGUUCCCGGGUCUUGUACACACCGCCCGUCACACCAUGGGAGCGGGUUCCGCCAGAAGUAGGUAGCCUAACCGCAAGGAGGGCGCUUACCACGGCGGGGUUCGUGACUGGGGUGAAGUCGUAACAAGGUAGCCGUAGGGGAACCUGCGGCUG
rnacentral:rRNA from 1 species